rnacentral:lncRNA from 1 species
CCUCCCUCUCCCUCUCUCUCUCUCUCUCUCUCUCUCUCUCUCUCUCUCUCUCUCUCUCUCUCUCUCUCUCUCUCUCUCUCUCUCUCUCUCUCUUAUUCCUGAUCCGCCGGCGUGGCUGAGAGGCUCUUCCAUUCUUCUCGUCGGUGGGGAGAGAGGAGCUCUGCGAGGUGGAGAAUGGUGCUCACGAACUUCACUGGCACUGGCGUCGGCCUAGGUAUGGGCAUGGAGCGAAUCCGCUGGCAGCUGUUUCGACGAACUCCUGAUUUCCUGCAAUUCUCGGCUAAUUGGCCAUUCUUUCUUGUGUGUUACGCUCAGGUUUCGGCGUCGGCUGUGGUUUUGGCGUAGGAUGGGGUUUCGGAGGUCGUUUCUCAUCCCCUUAUUAUAAUCCUUGUUCGUAGAUCAUAUCUUGCUUCCUCGGCUCUGAUCACAAUGCUCAACUCUCUCCUGGGGCUCCCACUCCGCCUUAUGCUAUCUCAAUAUUUAAAAUUAGCAAGUAACUAAUUGGUUAGCCUUAUUGUCCUCUCAUGGAAACUAUACCCUAAGAUCACUUCCGGAGAUCUUGCCCGAGCCAUCAAUCAAUGCAAAUGAGACCGUGGGCUUUCUGUAAUUGUUUCUCUUCUCAGUUGGUGUUUAUCGUAUUGCUUAAACAAGGACCAGAAUGGUGUGGGCGAGAGUAGUCCUUUCGUCAGAUCUUAGUAUUUAUUUACUCAGUUACUUGGCUCGUGUAUUUAGGCUCCAAUCUAGUCUUCUGUUUUUUUUUUUCCUGUUAUCUAAAAUUUUCAUGGUUUCUCCACAUUUUUCAUGAAACUGUGAAAAAAAAUAUCUGCAUUGUCUCUCUCAAUCCACUGGCGCAGGGUUUCAUAUGCUGAGAUAUUUGAAGUUUUCUGGUAUGACACCGAUAAUUACAUAUCAGCCACGUCGUAAGAAGUGCCCCCAACAUCCAGAUACGGCAGGAAUUAUUUUUCAUUUUUGGCUCUUUCAACAAGGUUGCCUGCUGAAUAUACCCUUGUAAUCCCUUUUCUUGAGUGUUUGUAUCCUUUCUGGAGACUUUGAAACUCACGAAGGGGAGAGAAAUGGAGGAUAGAGCAGAUUCUUAAUGGGCGCCAGUCCUUUCAUGGUCUCAAUUUGGAUCUAAACGAGUGGCAACCCGGAAGAAAAAGCUUUAUUAUUGAACUGAUCUUCGAUCCCUUUCUUGUUGAUUCGAGGGGCAUAACAAACAGAGUAAAGUUGAAUGGCCCACAAAUCUAUCUUAUCGUACAGAUUAUUCUUUGUGAAUUCUCGCAUGGAUCUUCACUGAACUCAGGCUGUGUUUAUUUUGUGAAAAGAGGGUUUUCAUGGGGUUUGAUCAACUGCGAGCAAAGCUGAUAAUCCUGAGCCAAUUUUUUUAUUGCGGUCUCGUUGCUAUGGUGUAACAUAAUUAUUAUUAUGGCUCAUAGUUCGAUUUAGUUAUUCUAACAAGUUAUUUCUAACUACAUGGAAAUAAUUAUGGACCAUCCUCGGUUAUUUUAGUAAAACUCCGGGGUCGCAAUGACUGAAACGCUUCCUUUUUUUUCUUUUAUUUUUUUAUGUCCUUUCGCUGACACCUAGAUUGAGCAUUUCCCCAAUUCCUCUUCUCUUCCUAGUUUACUUUCCAUCCCCACCACUAAAAAUUCAUGUUUCUGGUAUCUGGUAUCGAAUUAAACUGCAGGAAACGGUGUGCCUCCAUGGUCAACGAUUGCUCGAUUUAUUUUUGUUUUCCUUUUUUUGGAGUUCCUCGCCAGGAACCUCCAUAAUAUCCUCUUUGUCCGUAGCUUUUGGUGGAACGGCUAAUCUUGGAGUUGACUUUCCCUAAUUGCCUGAACAGACCUUGGUACCCAGCAGGAUGUUACCCAAGAAUCCAUGCGUUUUCUUUCUUCUUUGUGUGGUAGAUGUGGUCCUUGUUCGAGGCCAUACCCCAUGUUCACAUUCAAAUGCCCUGUUGUUGCCAGCGUCUGACUGUUCUUCCUCCUCUUGUUCCAGGAAUGCCUCUUCAAACUCUUGGUCUGGGAAUAGGUAUGAUGAAAUCAUGUUUCUCUAAUAAUCUCUCUGUUGCUGAUGAUUUCUUCUAACUUCUCCACUAACCCUCCUCCUCUCUCUCUCUCUCUCUCUCUCUCUCUCUCUCAUCAAUUGAAGGUGGAGGCUGCGGAGUGGGGUUCGGCCUCGGAUGGGGGUUUGGCAAUGCAUUCGGCAGUCAGUACCAGACUUCCAAGAUUAGCUUUGAGGGUAUGGAAUUCAGUAAAAGAGAGGGUGGAAGUUCUUCUGAAGAUCUUUCAGACUACAAGAGAUCUUCUGCUGUGGAUGCUGUCUCAAAAUAGUCACCUAGGUCAAUCAUUCACACAUGAAAACCCUAAUCUUUCCAAGAAUUAUAUGGUUCGAUUGGAUCAUUCUUCCUUGAGGCGUGUUCUUCCUCCUUGGUAUGUAUGGGUUUUCUUGCCAAAGAGCAUGGGAAGGUGAGAUGGAGCUCCCCCAUUUGAUUGAGCAUGAAAUUUGUGUUAUAGAUUAAUAUGCUCUUUUAUUUCCUCCCGACUAAUAUUUAAUUUUUUUAUAUUUUUUUCCCUGCCUGCUACCAAUUUUGGCAUCAUUAUGACAAAUCCUAUGCCGCAUUAUUUCCCAUUCUAAUUAGGGGUUUCAACCUCUAUGUAGAAUUAAUUUCCUUACCCAGUAAAAAAAAUAAAAUUACGUGUGGCUCCAAGCUUACCUUAUCCGUUGACACUCUCUUGACCACAAAGGAUAUAUAUUAAUGUUGACUUUUUGUAUAAAAAUGAACAUUUUUAAUUCUGGGUCCCACAUGU